UAUUUUACUUUUAUUAGAAUU
rnacentral:tRNA from 1 species